CACCUUAGUUAGUUGGUGGGGUAAAGGCUUACCAAGACUAUGAUGUGUAGCCGGGCUGAGAGGUUGAACGGCCACAUUGGGACUGAGACACGGCCCAAACUCCUACGGGAGGCAGCAGUAGGGAAUUUUCGGCAAUGGAGGAAACUCUGACCGAGCAACGCCGCGUGAACGAUGAAGUAUUUCGGUACGUAAAGUUCUUUUAUUAGGGAAGAAUAAAUGAUGGAAAAAUCAUUCUGACGGUACCUAAUGAAUAAGCCCCGGCUAACUAUGUGCCAGCAGCCGCGGUAAUACAUAGGGGGCAAGCGUUAUCCGGAAUUAUUGGGCGUAAAGGGUGCGUAGGCGGUUAAAUAAGUUUAUGGUCUAAGUGCAAUGCUUAACAUUGUGAUGCUAUAAAAACUGUUUAGCUAGAGUAAGAUAGAGGCAAGUGGAAUUCCAUGUGUAGUGGUAAAAUGCGUAAAUAUAUGGAGGAACACCAGUAGCGAAGGCGGCUUGCUGGGUCUUUACUGACGCUGAGGCACGAAAGCGUGGGGAGCAAACAGGAUUAGAUACCCUGGUAGUCCACGCCGUAAACGAUGAGUACUAAAUGUUGGGUAAAACCAGUGUUGAAGUUAACACAUUAAGUACUCCGCCUGAGUAGUACGUACGCAAGUAUGAAACUUAAAGGAAUUGACGGGACUCCGCACAAGCGGUGGAUCAUGUUGUUUAAUUCGAAGGUACCCGAAAAACCUCACCAGGUCUUGACAUGCUUCUGCAAAGCUGUAGAAACACAGUGGAGGUUAUCAGUUGCACAGGUGGUGCAUGGUUGUCGUCAGCUCGUGUCGUGAGAUGUUGGGUUAAGUCCCGCAACGAGCGCAACCCUUAUUGUUAGUUGCCAGCACGUAAUGGUGGGGACUUUAGCAAGACUGCCAGUGAUAAAUUGGAGGAAGGUGGGGACGACGUCAAAUCAUCAUGCCCCUUAUGACCUGGGCUACAAACGUGAUACAAUGGCUGUUACAAAGGGUAGCUGAAACGCAAGUUUUUGGCGAA
rnacentral:rRNA from 1 species